rnacentral:lncRNA from 1 species
UGGCAACCCAAGCCAAUUUGACAAAUAUGAACAACAUUUAUAAAUCCACAAGCUAAAUAAAUUAUACAAUCAGAACUCCAACUAUUCACCACAAGUUCAUAUCAUCAUAAAUUAGACUUAACAUUCUGAAAUUUCAAAUAAGAGAGAUCUUCUAACACUUUUACACAGUAUAUCCAUUUCGAUUCAUCGACAACAUUUCAUUUCAUACAAAAUAUGCUUAUACAACAAUAACAUAACAACCAACAAGACUUGCCCAUAAUUCUGUAUAGCUAUCCACUGCCUCAGCCCAAAUCAAACAUCUCAAAGGGUGACAAGCUGACCUGAAAGAUUUAUAUAACAACGGAGUGAGCUAAAAAUAGCUCAGCAAGUGACAAAGCAUAUUCAGAACAAAAGGAAUGGUUUCAAACAAGUAAGGUAUCAUAAUGCAAGGCAGAAUACAAGAAUUCUCAAGGAUACCAUCUCAUUAGAUACAAAAUCAUAUGUAUCAUGUCAUUCAAAACAUAUUUGAUUCAUAACAAAUGGAGCACAGAGUAAUUGGAGCAUAUCAAUAGCGUACGAGAUGUUCCGGAGCAUAUCAAUGGCAAAUGGUACAUUUCGAAGCAUAUCAAUAACAAAUGAAACAUAUCGAAGCUUAUCAAUGGCAUAUGAAUUGUUCCGGAGAAUAUCAAUGGCGUAUGGAGCAUUUCGAAGCAUAUCAAUAACAAAUGAAAUGUUUCGGAGCUUAUCAAUGGCGUAUGAAAUGUUCCGGAGCAUAUCAAAGGCAUAUGAAACAUUUCGAAGCAUAUCAACAGUGAAUGAAACUUUUUAGAGCAUAUCAAUAACAAAUACCGUACAGAAGCUCAAACGUCGUCUUUGACGUUGCAAUCAUAUCAUUCUUAUCCAAAGCAUGUACCGAAACACAUAACCAAAGCUCUGGAUAUCAUAUCAAACAUAUAGAAGGUGUAGUGGGAUCUCAAACAGAGUGUGAUUCAUCCAUUUCUGAAUGACCACCAGACAUAAGUCUCCCACGUCUGGGAGCUCCAUCCACCCACGUCUAGGUUAAGCCAGAGGGGGCCGGCAAAGCAUCGCAGGCUAUAAACACAUACCCUUUACCAUUUCUGGCAAAGGUCCAGACAAUCCCACAAACACCAGAGUACAAGAGGACAGUUUUAACAAUAAGUAGCACAUAUCGGAAGCACACGCGGAACAAGAAAACGUACAUGUGCCUUUACGAGUCAAUUCGAAGUAAGAAAUAAUCUUUCACAAUGGUAUUCGGAUUUUGAAAGGAAAUGGAAUAGGCACAUAUCGAAAGCAAAUGCGGAACAAUGGGAUACACAUGUGCCUAAAUGAGUCAAUACGAUAUAGCAUAAACGUUACACAACAGUUUUCAAGAAUGCAAAUAACUUUAAGGACAAGAGCAUACAAGAAUUCAAAGCAGUAAUAUAAAGCUUAAUUAAAUAAGAAAGCUAAAGGAUAUCAAUUUCCAAAGGAAUGAAACCAGAAUAUUAGAAAUCGACCAAAGCUCGAUUUCUGACAGAAUACAAGAGGCACAUUGAACAAAAGAUUCAAACUAUCAAUCGUGCUCCAAUUUACUCAGAAAUAUAUCAUUGGAUUAUACUUUCAGAUAAGACAGGCUUCAUAUGAAUUGAACU